UGGAGUUUGCUGUCUGAAAGUGGCAUUAUUUCGUUGGCGCCAGAUCUCCCAUAGAAUAUUAGCAAUCUCUUCAAAGCUGGGGGAAGAAAGACAAUGGGUUGCACGGGUCACCAACCAGGCAUCCAAUCUCCGGAUUGAGAGAGAAAGGGGGAGCAUAAAUAGAGACAUUGCAUACUGAGGAUCCAAGAAAACAUCUCCCGUUUAGACGCCCCAACUGAUGGAAUG